AAAUGAAUUGACGGGGACCCGCACAAGCAGUGGAGUAUGUGGUUUAAUUCGAAGCAACGCGAAGAACCUUACCAGGUCUUGACAUCCCCCUGAAUAGUCUAGAGAUAGGCUAGGCCUUCGGGACAGGGGAGACAGGUGGUGCAUGGUUGUCGUCAGCUCGUGUCGUGAGAUGUUGGGUUAAGUCCCGCAACGAGCGCAACCCUUGACUUUAGUUGCCAGCAUUCAGUUGGGCACUCUAGAGUGACUGCCGGUGACAAACCGGAGGAAGGUGGGGAUGACGUCAAAUCAUCAUGCCCCUUAUGACCUGGGCUACACACGUACUACAAUGGCCGGAACAACGGGAAGCGAAGUGGUGACACGGAGCCAAUCCUUAUAAAUCGGUCUCAGUUCGGAUUGCAGGCUGCAACUCGCCUGCAUGAAGUCGGAAUUGCUAGUAAUCGCGGAUCAGCAUGCCGCGGUGAAUACGUUCCCGGGUCUUGCACACACCGCCCGU
rnacentral:rRNA from 1 species